UACGUAGGGGGCAAGCGUUGUCCGGAAUCAUUGGGCGUAAAGCGCGUGUAGGCGGUUCGGUAAGUCUGCUGUGAAAGUCCAGGGCUCAACCCUGGGAUGCCGGUGGAUACUGUCGGACUAGAGUACGGAAGAGGCGAGUGGAAUUCCCGGUGUAGCGGUGAAAUGCGCAGAUAUCAGGAGGAACACCGGUGGCGAAGGCGGGUCUCUGGGCCGAUAUCGACGCUGAGGAGCGAAAGCGUGGGGAGCGAACAGG
rnacentral:rRNA from 1 species